rnacentral:rRNA from 1 species
GACGAACCGAGCGAACGUUGUUCGGAAUCACUGGGCUUAAAGGGCGCGUAGGCGGGUGCUCAAGUCCGGGGUGAAUCCCACAGCUCAACUGUGGAAUUGCCUCGGAUACUGGGUGUCUCGAGGGUGGUAGGGGUAUGCGGAACUAUCGGUGGAGCGGUGAAAUGCGUUGAUAUCGAUAGGAACUCCGGUGGCGAAGGCGGCAUACUGGGCCACUUCUGACGCUGAUGCGCGAAAAGCCAGGGGGAGCAAAACGGGG